UACGUAGGGUCCGAGCGUUGUCCGGAAUUAUUGGGCGUAAAGGGCUCGUAGGCGGUCUGUUGCGUCGGGAGUGAAAACUUACAGCUUAACUGUGAGCGUGCUUCCGAUACGGGCAGACUUGAGGUAUUCAGGGGAGAACGGAAUUCCUGGUGUAGCGGUGAAAUGCGCAGAUAUCAGGAGGAACACCGGUGGCGAAGGCGGUUCUCUGGGAAUAUCCUGACGCUGAGGAGCGAAAGUGUGGGGAGCGAAUGGG
rnacentral:rRNA from 1 species